rnacentral:pre_miRNA from 1 species
AGUGAGAUUACUGGGCCAUAUAAUAAGUGUAGAUUUAACUUUAUAAGAAAUUAUCAAACUGUUUUCCAAAGUGGCUGUACCGUUUUGCAUUCCCACCAGCAAU